GGAUCGCUGCGCUGGAUGGAGGAUGAGAAUGCGCUGACAUAGUGAGGAGACGUCUGGGCGUCACAUUCUACAGACAGAAGUUUUAGCUGGACCAGGCGAGGCUUCUUCUUAAGAGUAAUCCCUUCCAAAGAAUUUACUAAUAAUCAAUACUGUUAUUGAAAAAGGACAUCCAUUAAACUUAAAAACUUAGAGAAGGUAAAGACACCCCGCUCUUCCUAUUCAUUGAAUUUAUGUUUUUCCAAAUUGUUGUUUACUUUUCUUAACUUAACUUAACUUCAAAAAAAGCUUCCACAAUGGAAAUGUUCUGCAUCUGAAGAAUUUUGAUGGAUUCUUGAUAUAAUUCCAGUUGACUAAUAAAAAAAAC